rnacentral:rRNA from 1 species
AAUCAACGCUGGCGGCGUGCCUCAGACAUGCAAGUCGAACGAUUAUGACUUCCUUCGGGAAGUGCAUAAAGUGGCGCACGGGUGAGUAACACGUAAGUAAUCUACCCUCGAGUGGGGAAUAACAUCGGGAAACCGAUGCUAAUACCGCAUAACGCAGCGGCACCGCAAGGUGACAGCUGUUAAAGGAGUAAUUCGCUUGAGGAGGAGCUUGCGGCAGAUUCGCUAGUUGGUAAGGUAACGGCUUACCAAGGCUACGAUCUGUAUCCGGUCUAAGAGGAAGGUCGGACACACUGACACUGAAUAACGGGUCAGACUCCUACGGGAGGCAGCAGUCGGGAAUUUUGGGCAAUGGGCGAAAGCCUGACCCAGCAACGCCGCGUGAAGGAUGAAGUAUUUCGGUAUGUAAACUUCGAAAGAAUGGGAAGAAUAAAUGACGGUACCAUUUAUAAGCUCCGGCUAACUACGUGCCAGCCGCCGCUGUAAGAC